rnacentral:rRNA from 1 species
AACGAACGCUGGCGGCAGGCUUAACACAUGCAAGUCGAACGCCCCGCAAGGGGAGUGGCAGACGGGUGAGUAACGCGUGGGAAUCUACCCAGAUCUACGGAACAACAGUUGGAAGCGACUGCUAAUACCGUAUACGCCCUACGGGGGAAAGAUUUAUCGGAUUUGGAUGAGCCCGCGUUGGAUUAGCUAGUUGGUGGGGUAAUGGCCUACCAAGGCGACGAUCCAUAGCUGGUCUGAGAGGAUGAUCAGCUACAUUGGGACUGAGACACGGCCCAAACUCCUACGGGAGGCAGCAGUGGGGAAUAUUGGACAAUGGGCGCAAGCCUGAUCCAGCCAUGCCGCGUGAGUGAUGAAGGCCUUAGGGUUGUAAAGCUCUUUCACCGGGGAAGAUAAUGACGGUACCCGGAGAAGAAGCCCCGGCUAACUUCGUGUCAGCCGCCGCCGUAAGAC